UACGUAGGGUGCAAGCGUUAAUCGGAAUUACUGGGCGUAAAGCGUGCGCAGGCGGCUUGCAAGACAGAUGUGAAAUCCCCGGGCUCAACCUGGGAACUGCAUUUGUGACUGCAAGGCUGGAGUACGGCAGAGGGGGAUGGAAUUCCGCGUGUAGCAGUGAAAUGCGUAGAUAUGCGGAGGAACACCGAUGGCGAAGGCAAUCCCCUGGGCCUGUACUGACGCUCAUGCACGAAAGCGUGGGGAGCAAACAGG
rnacentral:rRNA from 1 species